AGUAUUUUGACUAUACAAAGGUAUUGAAAUAAGAUUUUAAUUGAAUGCUAAGAGAAUGGAAUUACAAAAAAUGACUUUUUUAAAUUCAAAAAUUGAAUUUAUUUUUAUUUGUGAAGAAACAAUAAUUAACAUUAAAGACAAGAAGACCCUAAGAAUUUUAAAAGAAUUUUAUAUUUGAUUAAUUUUAAAUUCUUUUUAAUUGGGGCGAUUAAAAAAUAUUAAAAACUUUUUUCAAUUAAAAUGAACCGUUACUAACGGUUAGAUGAUAAAAAUACUCUAGGGAUAACAGCGUAAUAAUUUUUGAUAGUUCUUAUAGACAAAAUAGUUUGCGACCUCGAUGUUGGAUUAGGAUACUUUUUUAAUGAAGAAGUUAAAAAAAGGAGUUUGUUCAACUUUUAAAAUCCU
rnacentral:rRNA from 1 species